AGAAUAAUAAACCAAGCUCAUGCAAUAGACAAUCUGCUUCUAUAAUGUGCUAACAUUUCUGUGUUGUGGCACGCAGUAUAUAUUCUAAUCUCAUUACUUAUGUGGAUUUCUUCCAUAGACCUCUCUUACUGUAUUCCCCAAUGUUUAUUGUAAUUUUCUGAAGAAAAAGUCCAUCUGCUACUUCAUUGAAUCAACAGACAUUAAUAGAGUCCUUAUUAAGUGCCAAGCAAGUGCUGUGCCAGACUCUGAAGUUGCAAAGAUUUGAGUGUUUCUGCUAUUUCCUCCAUUACCAUCACUAAAGAAAAUGCUGCUGCUGCCUCUCAUAAAAAUGAGGAUAACGCUGGAUAACAUUUAUUGAGUGCUUACCUCCUCCCAGGCUUCUUCCUUCUCUUUCUAUUGCCGGGACACCAAGACAUGAGCAGCUGUUUGCAACCAGUAACGUCCACCAUGCCCUUCUUUCCUUGGAGCCAGUCAACUAUGAACCAUAUCCUCUAAAAACUGUGAGGCAAAAUUAACCUCUGCUUCAAUUG
rnacentral:lncRNA from 1 species